UGCGAGUCGCGCGCGGUCGUGCUACAAGCACUACGCCGUAGCUCAAAGCGCUACGCGUAUCGAGUGAAGUUUUAAUAGUUAAUGUGACUGAGUGCUGUGGAAUGUUACGAUUUGGGACUUGAGUUAACUUAAAAAGUUUGUAUAUUAAACGGCAACAUGGGUUUCGCCGGAAGCUUGGCCUUCCUACUGCCGCUGCUGCUGUCCGCUUCCCACGCGAGCAGUCAACUAAUCUUCCUCAUGGAGCCACCACCCCGACUGUCGUUCUCCAAUAGCACCGGUGCCAGUGUGUCAUGCGCUGCUCACGGCACUCCCGCGCCCACCAUCACUUGGCUCACUGAAGACGGUGUACCCGUUUCAGAUGUGCCUGGA